AAAAAAAAAUACGCACGGAAAAUACCUACGAAGAUAAGAUGGCCGCCAUUCCUUCAGCCACCACGAUUGUUGCGAUUGCAGAGGACAUAUGACUUCGUUCUUGAGGCUACGUAUGCAGCAAUCACAUAUACGAAGUACUUCCAGUUCCAAAGAAAUGGCCCGGUUUAACUGCACAACAUCCCCUUAGGAUUUUCGCAUUGAAGUUUAUUCUUUUACUCUGAUGAUUGUGAUACAUUUCAACUAUGAUUGGUUUUGAAACAUAUGAUGCAUAGAUUUGAUAGUUAUAAAAACAAGAAAUUUUACCACUA